AGACCCCAGCGCUCGGUAAUAGGAGCCGGUGGGCGGAGCCUGCAGGGCCUGGGGAGACUCGGGCGUUCACAUGACACGUACCCCGGGCCACCGCUGGAAAGACACCUUCCUCCCGGGGAGCGGGAGGAAGCGUCCAGGCCCCAGAGGGCGCGGUUUGCAGCACCCGAGGUCGCCAUGGCUACCGAACCCGAGACCCCUGUGGCCGCCUCAGCUGCGGAGCCCGCGGUGCCGUCGCUUAUGGAUCGUUACUUCACUCGCUGGUACAAAGCGGAUGUCAAAGGAAAACCCUGUGAGGACCACUGUAUACUCCAACACUGUAACUGAAUAUGUGUCAUCACACUGGCAGGAUCCCAUCCAGUUCUUCAAAGUGGAAAAGUAAUUAAAAGCAUUUCCUAUCAAAUCAGUACCAACUGUAGCAGACUUCAGAACAAAGUCUCUGGGAAAUUUAAGCGGGUAUGUUCCUGUAUUUCUCUACUUAAAUCCUCUAUUGUCAUAAUAAUGGUAAAGCCAGCCAGUCUUAGAACCCAGUAAUGUAUGCUCAGCAUACUUCCCUGGCAGUUAGAGACGAUUUUAAGAAUACUUAAGCUCUAAAGAAAUUCUCAGGCCAAAAAAAUGAGGUAUUUCAGAAGGUAUAUUAUCUGUCAUAUUAGCUUCUGGGCCACCAUCCCUGUCAUCCCCAGGAUGAAGGAUGGAGAAGGUGGGCCUUUGAAAGAACAACACUAAUACCAAUAUAACAAGAUAUUUUGUCCCUUCCUGAUUUGUUAAGCCAGUAUUUCGAAUUCUGUAAAAUACAGAUGAUCAAUACUUCUUUAUCAUAAAUUUUCACAUGUGAACUUAAAAGUAAAAUAAAGUCCUGAGGUAGUGAAAAAAAAUCAAUCUGGGAAAAUAUACAGUAUUUGCUUCAUAUCAGUUGCCAUUCCUAACUCAUUGCCAAUUUAAUACACAUCUAGCUACACCCUCUACCUCCACAUAGUGUUUAGUUAUAGAAAAUGUUACCUGUGCCCUCUACAAUUCUAGGCAAAUGGACAUUUUACUGUUAAAGGAGGGUAUCACACCAAGGACAACUCAAAACCAUACUAAACUAUCCUGACAAACCCCCUGGAAAGGAAAGUUUCAGUGGAUGAUUUAGGUCCUUCAUUUACGGAGUUCAUACUAAGAGUUCCUGCUAAUUACCUCACUUUUCUGGAAGACCCUUGUUUACACUCCCCUUUGUAGGCCUGAAGGCCCCUAAUAACCUGCCUUAUAAUUACUGAUUUUUCCUCACUCAGGAAGCAAGUGGACUUUGAAAAGCAUGGACCAUUCUUAAAAGUCUACAAAUUACAAGUAAAACAGUUAGUGCUUGUGAUGUUCCUGUGAUCAAUCUUUGUCCAAAAUAGUAACACUGUUGUUACUACUGAGGAACAGAGAGGGACCUGCACAUGGAACCCACUGUAGAUAAGCUUUGAUCGCAUCUCAGCACUGCCCAUCAUUUAUUCUCCCAAGGGAGGUGACCAAGAGGGGUUAAAACACUUCUUUCUGACACAGAGCCAGUGAUAGACAAACCAUCUGGGACAAAUCCCCAGCCCCUCCUCCCAAAAGUGGGGAGUCACACUGACUAGUCUUUUGAAACGAAGUACCCACAGGCAGAGGAGUGAAGCGCAUGCAGUAACACCUGAAUGCUGUCUAAUAAAGUUGUGAGUGGGAAAGAGGCCAUAAAGUACAGCAUCUUGACCUCAGAUGUUCACUGCAGUAAAAAUUCCUGGGAAAAAAGAGCAACACAUGAGACAUGCUUGCAUCCAUUUCCCAUGAGCCUCCUUGUACUGGGUUGGCCAAAAAGUUCGCUCCGGUUUUUCAUGUUAGGGAAAUACCUGCAUGAACUUGGUGGCCGACUCGAUAGAUAUUUGUCAGAACCUCCCCAGAUAUAUCCAUACAGUGGAGUACAUGAAAAUAUAACCGUGCCACAACAUUCAGACAGACAUAUGUCAAAAUGUAGUAUUUGCUAGCGGGUUAUAGGAUAAUGGGUAAGUUACUCUAUAUGCUACUUAAAACUUUUCUGUUUUCCAGAUUUUCCUCAAAUUGCUUUUUUUUAAAUUAGAAAAAUAUCCCUUCUCCAGAAAGUCUUAGUGAUUGACCUAAUAAAGAAGUUCCUUUCUCUAUUAAGUUCUGAUAUAAAAAUAAGGUAGGAAUCUUAAUGAAACUAACUUUAUACAAUAUUGCGAUCAUUCUCUAUAAUGUUGAGUUUUAUAUUAUGCUUAUUGAUGAGAUUUUCCUACCCUUUUGAAGUCUUUACACUUGGCUAUGUGCAGCUUUCUCAUGCACAGUUAAAUAUAAAGUAUAAUAAGUUAAGAUAAAAUAUAUUCUUAAUAUGUAUCUAAACUACCUAUUAUCACAUUUGUCUUAGUCUGCUUUUUCCCCUAGAGCCUAGUAUGGUGCCUAGCCCAUAGAGGCAUUUAAUAUAUAAAUAUUUGAAUAAAUGAAUGGUUUUUCUGUACUUAAGUCAUUUUUAUUUAAAACACUAAUUCCAGGAAUAUAUCCUAUUGUACCUCUGAGGGCUGCCUCACAAAGAAAAGUGAAAAUGUACAUCAAUUAAUUUUUUCUUCCCUUUUAUUAUCAGGGGGCACAGUUUCUAACAGAACUUGCACCUCUGUGUAAGAUUUACUGCUCUGAUGGAGAAGAAUACACCAUAUGUAGCUGUGUUAGAGGACGGUUGAUGGAAGUAAAUGAAAACAUUCUCCAUAAGCCAUCUAUUCUUCAAGAGAAGCCAUCCACCGAAGGAUACAUUGCAGUUGUGUUGCCCAAGUUUGAAGAAAGUAAAAGCAUAACAGAAGGGUUACUGACACAAAAACUGUAUGAAGAAGUCGUGGUGAAACGCAUCAGUGCCACAACAGCGACCUCAUGAGGAUUAAGAUUGAGUGAAAACAACAGGGCAUUCUUAUCCUUACCUGGCCUACCAGUCAGUGCACUAAGGAAGAACCAGAGAUGCUGAAGCAUACUUCACACCGGGCCAUCCGCAGGGAGGCCUGAUCUUAAAACCUGACCUAGGUUUCCUUCUUGUCUUGCAUAACAAGCCUUGAUUCCAUUUUGUCUUCAACCUCCCAGAUCUGCCUGCCCAUGUACUCACUCUGUUCUUUUGGUUUUCUCUUUCUAACUGGCAAGCAACAGACGUUUUGUUUUUCUGAUUAAAAGCCAACAAACAAAGCACGUUGAAGAAAAUUUGAAAAAGACAGAAAACAGCAAAAUAAAAAAAAAUUUACCCAUCAUCCUGUAACCCAUUAGUAAAUACUAGGUUUUGAUGUGAUUCUGGUUGAGUAUUAUGUCAUGGUUAUUGUUUUUGCCUCAAUUUUCCAUCACUUUGAAGUUGAAAAACAACAACCGGCCUUUCUUACCCAAUCUGCUUCAGUGUGACACGACCGAAACGUCUGGUCCCUCCCCUUCUGCCCCAACUCCCCCGCUCAGGUUGCUGGGAAGAGGCAGGGUGUAGAGUGUUCCUUCUCUAUGUCUAUGGGUUGGCCUUCAACUCUGAACAAUGUAGCACUGUAACACUGGUUUCUUAAUGAGGGACACAUGAAAAGGCUUUGAAAGGGUCUUUGCUAACAUGGAAGUAUCAAUAUUAUAAUGCUGUAUGAAGUAACAUGUGCAUUUGUGGUCUCUCAGUCUCGCACUCUAGUUACAGAGUAACCAGCGAGGAAGUUCCCGAGAGGUUCCUGGAAUUUGAAGACACACAUGCUUUUGAAUAGAACAGAAGCUUUCACAUCAUUUAAACAAUAAACUAAAAACUAUGAAUUUAUGGUUUAAAACUGUAUACUUGUUUACAUUGAAUUUCAAAUAAAAGGACUUUUAAAACUGUUAUUUUUCCUUAAGGGCUGCAACACAUACAUACAUAUAACUAUAUGGUUUUAAAUAAAAUGAUUAUCAUUGACAUGUAAAUUCUUUUGGUUCUCUAUCAUCUUAUGCUGUUGAAGUGAUGUUAUCCCUUUCUACCACCACUUGCAUUUAAAUAAGAGAAUUCUCGUUUCAGGUAUGUAAACUCUUUUGUAAAUAAAUUUUUUUAAAUUA